CUGGACCUUCACCUGGACCUGGACCCAGCAGUGUGUCCAUGACCAGUGACCGGUCAAAGGAUCUUCCCCUUGUCUUUAAACAGAGGGUGCACCAGAGACCAGGAUCCUGUAAACCUGAUCCCAGCAGUGUCUCCAUGAACAGUGACUGGUCCAAGGAUCUUCCUCUUUUCUUUAAACAGAGGACCCAUCAGACACCAGAAUCUUCCCAACCUGAACCCAGUGGUGUGUCCAUGAACAGUGACUGGUCAAAGGAUCUUCCCCUGGUCUUUCGCCAGCGCCGUUUUUCUGA